CUCGGGGACACAGCGGUUUUGAAAAGGAAGCACAGAGCGCUCAUGUGAGCUUCUCCUCUGCAAGACCCCAUCCUGGGAUGGCUCCUCCCCAACCACCCUGACCCCCACUGCUGGGAGUAGAAAGAAACCUGCCCAGGCUGCUCAUAGCUGCCACAGCGUUGGGACCACGCCACUGACAGAUGCCACUGAAAAGGCAAUGCAUUAAAAAUACAAGAGCCGACAACCAGCUUCUGCUUGACAAACCGAUCACCCCUAUGUGAGUGGAAGCCUCACGCGCCCUGCUUUGAAAGGAGGUCCAGACGGCUGACAAGGACACGCUGUGCGUUUCCUCUGAGGCCUCUGGGGGAAGGGAGCCCAUGAAAGAUGUAAAACGUGGUGAAUAAAACAUCGUGACCCAGGCGCGGGCUGGGAGGAGCCCUUGCUCCCACAAAGCCUGU